AGGACGAACGCUGGCGGCGUGCUUAACACAUGCAAGUCGAGCGGUAAGGCCUUUCGGGGUACACGAGCGGCGAACGGGUGAGUAACACGUGGGUGAUCUGCCCUGCACUUCGGGAUAAGCCUGGGAAACUGGGUCUAAUACCGGAUAUGACCUCCUAUCGCAUGGUGGGUGGUGGAAAGAUUUAUCGGUGCAGGAUGGGCCCGCGGCCUAUCAGCUUGUUGGUGGGGUAAUGGCCUACCAAGGCGACGACGGGUAGCCGACCUGAGAGGGUGACCGGCCACACUGGGACUGAGACACGGCCCAGACUCCUACGGGAGGCAGCAGUGGGGAAUAUUGCACAAGUGGGCGAAAGCCUGAUGCAGCGACGCCGCGUGAGGGAUGACGGCGUUCGGGUUGUAACCUCUUUCAGCAGGACGAAGCGACAAGUGACGGUACCUGCAAGAAGAAGCAACCGGUAACUACGUGCCAGC
rnacentral:rRNA from 1 species